rnacentral:rRNA from 1 species
UAAUACGAAGGGGGCAAGCGUUGUUCGGAAUUACUGGGCGUAAAGGGCGCGUAGGCGGUGCUCUAAGUCAGGCGUGAAAGCCCUGGGCUCAACCCGGGAAUUGCGCUUGAUACUGGAGCGCUUGAAUCCAGGAGAGGUUGGUGGAAUUCCCAGUGUAGAGGUGAAAUUCGUAGAGAUUGGGAAGAACACCGGUGGCGAAGGCGGCCAACUGGACUGGUAUUGACGCUGAGGCGCGAAAGCGUGGGGAGCAAACAGGAUUAGAUACCCUGGUAGUCCACGCUGUAAACGAUGUGUGCUAGCCGUUGGGGCUCUUAGAGCCUCGGUGGCGUCGCUAACGCUUUAAGCACACCGCCUGGGGAGUACGGUCGCAAGAUUA